rnacentral:rRNA from 1 species
AGAGUUUGAUUAUGGCUCAGGAUGAACGCUAGCGACAGGCUUAACACAUGCAAGUCGAGGGGCAGCGGGGCGGCAGGCUUGCCUGCCGUUGCCGGCGACCGGCGCACGGGUGAGUAACACGUAUGCAACCUGCCCGUGGCAGGGGGAUAAGCGGGGGAAACCCCGUCUAAUACCGCGUAACGCGGCCUAGGGACAUCCCAAGGCCGCCAAAGGGAGCAAUCCCGGCCACGGAUGGGCAUGCGGCGCAUUAGCUAGUCGGCGGGGUAACGGCCCACCGAGGCGACGAUGCGUAGGGGUUCUGAGAGGAAGGCCCCCCACACUGGUACUGAGACACGGACCAGACUCCUACGGGAGGCAGCAGUGAGGAAUAUUGGUCAAUGGGCGCGAGCCUGAACCAGCCAAGUCGCGUGAGGGAGGACGGCCCUACGGGUUGUAAACCUCUUUUGCCGGGAAGCAACGGGCGCCACGUGUGGCGCCACUGAGAGUACCCGGAGAAAAAGCAUCGGCUAACUCCGUGCCAGCAGCCGCGGUAAUA